GGCUAAAAGGUGAAGCAGAUUUUGAAGAAAAAGUCUUUUACAGCAAUGAUUUGGAGAGGAGUCCUCAAUAGCAUCUUGUACUGUACCAGUAACCUAAAAAUGUCAUUGCAUAAUUGCUUUUAAAUUCCCAAAACCAUUUUUUAAAUUGAUGACAUCUACACAUACAAUCAAACUAUGUCAUCAAGCAAGAUAUUUGGUGUGAAAGAACUGAGUCUCAGCAAGCAAGAUAAAUGAAGCUUAUUGCUCAAAAUUACUCAUUUGAGAAGAUUAUGUCCGCUAAGUUAUUGUUGCAACAUUUUAUGAGCAUAGCAUUAGCGGAAAUUUGAACUAACCUCUGCUUCCCUUAAUAAAUGCA
rnacentral:misc_RNA from 1 species